UUUCGUUGGCUGCUAAUAUCUCAACAGAUUGUGAGCACUGGUUGUAUUGGCCUUAUCUCUCCUCACUGUCUCUGUUGCCCAGUUUGACAUUCAUUGUGUAUCUGGAUCUUUCUUUUGCUGGAAUUGAAUGUUUCUUCAGAGUCUUUCAGCAGUGAGUACUUCUGGCUCAUCUUUUGUACAUCAUUUUGAUGCAAAGAUGAAGGGAUGAAGACAUGUUGAUUAAGGUUUUUCAUGCCAGUUGAUGUACUUUUAGCAUUGUAGUGAUGAACUUUGUACAGAUUGAUAACGGAAGAUACUUGCUAUGUUUAUGUAUUUUAUAGAGCAAGGUAAACAUAUUCAUGUUUUUUUAUUGAUCUAUUUUGUGUUCUUUGAUGCAUUAUUUUUGCAAUGUAUAUUAUGA